GAUGAACGCUGGCGGCGUGCCUAAUACAUGCAAGUCGAGCGAACAGACGAGGAACUUGCUCCUCUGACGUUAGCGGCGGACGGGUGAGUAAAACGUGGAUAACCUACCUAUAAGACUGGGAUAACUUCGGGAAACCGGAGCUAAUACCGGAUAAUAUAUUGAACCGCAUGGUUCAAUAGUGAAAGACGGUUUUGCUGUCACUUAUAGAUGGAUCCGCGCCGCAUUAGCUAGUUGGUAAGGUAACGGCUUACCAAGGCAACGAUGCGUAGCCGACCUGAGAGGGUGAUCGGCCACACUGGAACUGAGACACGGUCCAGACUCCUACGGGAGGCAGCAGUAGGGAAUCUUCCGCAAUGGGCGAAAGCCUGACGGAGCAACGCCGCGUGAGUGAUGAAGGUCUUCGGAUCGUAAAACUCUGUUAUUAGGGAAGAACAAAUGUGUAAGUAACUAUGCACGUCUUGACGGUACCUAAUCAGAAAGCCACGGCUAACUACGUG
rnacentral:rRNA from 1 species